AAUUCGAUUGAGUUUGAUCAUGGCUCAGGACGAACGCUGGCGGCGUGCUUAACACAUGCAAGUCGAGCGGUAAGGCCCUUUUGGGGGUACACGAGCGGCGAACGGGUGAGUAACACGUGGGUGACCUGCCUUCAGCUCUGGGAUAAGCUUGGGAAACUGGGUCUAAUACCGGAUAUGACUGUCUGCCGCAUGGUGGGUGGUGGAAAGUUCUUGGGCUUUGGUCUGGGUUCGGCUGGGGAUGGGCCUGCGGCCUAUCAGCUUGUUGGUGGGGUGAUGGCCUACCAAGGCGACGACGGGUAGCCGGCCUGAGAGGGCGACCGGCCACACUGGGACUGAGACACGGCCCAGACUCCUACGGGAGGCAGCAGUGGGGAAUAUUGCGCAAUGGGCGGAAGCCUGACGCAGCGACGCCGCGUGGGGGAUGACGGCCUUCGGGUUGUAAACCUCUUUCGCCAUCGACGAAGGUUCUGUGGUUGUGAGGCUGCAGGGUUGACGGUAGGUGGAGAAGAAGCACCGGCCAACUACGUGCCAGCAGCCGCGGUAAUACGUAGGGUGCGAGCGUUGUCCGGAAUUAUUGGGCGUAAAGAGCUCGUAGGCGGUGUGUCGCGUCGGCCGUGAAAACCUGCAGCUUAACUGUGGGCGUGCGGUCGAUACGGGCAUCACUGGAGUUCGGCAGGGGAGA
rnacentral:rRNA from 1 species